GAAAUACUUUCUCCGUCCAACAAAGGAUGUCUCAACUUUGAUUAAAUUUGAAUGCAUCUAUACACUAAGUCAUGUCUAGAUACAUCAAAAUUUUGACAAACUUGAGACAUCUUUUGUUGGACGGAGGGAGUAGUAU
rfam:Brachypodium distachyon strain Bd21 chromosome 4, whole genome shotgun sequence.